GAUGAACGCUAGCUACAGGCUUAACACAUGCAAGUCGAGGGGCAGCACAGAGAUAGCUUGCUAUCUUGGGUGGCGACCGGCGCACGGGUGAGUAACGCGUAUCCAACCUGCCCAUUACUCUGGGAUAGCCUUGCGAAAGUAAGAUUAAUACCGGAUGUUGUUAAAAACCCGCAUGAGUUUUUAACCAAAGAUUUAUUGGUAAUGGAUGGGGAUGCGUGACAUUAGGUAGUUGGUGAGGUAACGGCUCACCAAGCCUACGAUGGCUAGGGGUUCUGAGAGGAAGGUCCCCCACACUGGAACUGAGGCACGGUCCAGACUCCUACGGGAGGCAGCAGUGAGGAAUAUUGGUCAAUGGACGAGAGUCUGAACCAGCCAAGUAGCGUGCAGGAUGACGGCCCUCUGGGUUGUAAACUGCUUUUAGUUGGGAAUAAAAAGAGGGACGUGUCCCUAAUUGUAUGUACCAUCAGAGAAAGGACCGGCUAAUUCCGUGCCAGCAGCCGCCGUAACAC
rnacentral:rRNA from 1 species